AGUGAACGCUGGCGGUAGGCCUAACACAUGCAAGUCGAACGGCAGCACAGUAAGAGCUUGCUCUUACGGGUGGCGAGUGGCGGACGGGUGAGGAAUACAUCGGAAUCUACUUUUUCGUGGGGGAUAACGUAGGGAAACUUACGCUAAUACCGCAUACGACCUACGGGUGAAAGCAGGGGAUCUUCGGACCUUGCGCGAUUGAAUGAGCCGAUGUCGGAUUAGCUAGUUGGCGGGGUAAAGGCCCACCAAGGCGACGAUCCGUAGCUGGUCUGAGAGGAUGAUCAGCCACACUGGAACUGAGACACGGUCCAGACUCCUGCGGGAGGCAGCAGUGGGGAAUAUUGGACAAUAGGCGCAAGCCUGAUCCAGCCAUACCGCGUGGGUGAAGAAGGCCUUCGGGUUGUAAAGCCCUUUUGUUGGGAAAGAAAAGCAGCAGGUUAAUACCACGCUGUUCUGACGGUACCCAAAGAAUAAGCACCGGCUAACUUCGUG
rnacentral:rRNA from 1 species